rnacentral:miRNA from 1 species
AUGUUUGGAGACUCAUUUGAAAAC